rnacentral:lncRNA from 1 species
AUGUCAGUUCUCCUCUCCUCCUUCAUCAGUGGUGUUGGUUUUCCUCUUCAUCAGUGGUGUUGGUUCUCCUCUCCUCCUCCAUCAGUGGUGUUGGUUCUCCUCUCCUCCUUCAUCAGUGGUGUUGGUUUUCCUCUCCUCCAUCAGUGGUGUUGGUUCUCCUCUCCUCCAUCAGUGGUGUUGGUUCUCCUCUCCCCCAUCAGUGGUGUUGGUUCUCCUCUCCUCCUCCAUCAGUGGUGUUGGUUCUCCUCUCCUCCUUCAUCAGUGGUGUUGGUUCUCCUCUCCUUCAUCAGUGGUGUUGGUUCUCCUCUCCUCCAUCAGUGGUGUUGGUUCUCCUCUCCUCCAUCAGUGGUGUUGGUUCUCCUCUCCUCCAUCAGUGGUGUUGGUUCUCCUCUCCUCCUCCAUCAGUGGUGUUGGUUCUCCUCUCCUCCAUCAGUGGUGUUGGUUCUCCUCUCCUCCUCCAUCAGUGGUGUUGGUUCUCCUCUCCUUCAUCAGUGGUGUUGGUUCUCCUCUCCUCCUUCAUCAGUGGUGUUGGUUCUCCUCUCCUCCUCCAUCAGUGGUGUUGGUUUUCCUCUCCUCCUUCAUCAGUGUUGCUGGUUCUCCUCUCCUCCUUCAUCAGUGGUGUUGGUUCUCCUCUCCUCCUUCAUCAGUGUUGUUGGUUUUCAUCUCCUCCUUCAUCAGUGGUGUUGGUUCUCCUCUCCUCCUUCAUCAGUGGUGUUGGUUCUCCUCUCCUCCUUCAUCAGUGGUGUUGGUUCUCCUCUCCUCCAUCAGUGGUGUUGGUUCUCCUCUCCUCCAUCAGUGGUGUUGGUUCUCCUCUCCUCCAUCAGUGGUGUUGGUUCUCCUCUCCUCCUUCAUCAGUGGUGUUGGUUCUCCUCUCCUCCAUCAGUGGUGUUGGUUCUCCUCUCCUCCUUCAUCAGUGGUGUUGGUUCUCCUCUCCUCCAUCAGUGGUGUUGGUUCUCCUCUCCUCCUUCAUCAGUGGUGUUGGUUCUCCUCUCCUCCUUCAUCAGUGGUGUUGGUUCUCCUCCCCUCCUUCAUCAGUGGUGUUGGUUUUCCUCCCCUCCAUCAGUGGUGUUGGUUCUCCUCUCCUCCAUCAGUGGUGUUGGUUCUCCUCUCCUCCAUCAGUGGUGUUGGUUCUCCUCUCCUCCUCCAUCAGUGGUGUUGGUUCUCCUCUCCUCCUUCAUCAGUGGUGUUGGUUCUCCUCUCCUCCAUCAGUGGUGUUGGUUCUCCUCUCCUCCAUCAGUGGUGUUGGUUCUCCUCUCCUCCAUCAGUGGUGUUGGUUCUCCUCUCCUCCAUCAGUGGUGUUGUUCUCCUCUCCUCCUCCAUCAGUGGUGUUGGUUCUCCUCCCCUCCUUCAUCAGUGGUGUUGGUUUUCCUCUCCUCCAUCAGUGGUGUUGGUUCUCCUCCCCUCCUUCAUCAGUGGUGUUGGUUCUCCUCUCCUCCUUCAUCAGUGGUGUUGGUUCUCCUCUCCUUCAUCAGUGGUGUUGGUUCUCCUCUCCUCCUUCAUCAGUGGUGUUGGUUCUCCUCUCCUUCAUCAGUGGUGUUGGUUUUCCUCUCCUCCAUCAGUGGUGUUGGUUCUCCUCCCCUCCUUCAUCAGUGGUGUUGGUUCUCCUCUCCUUCAUCAGUGGUGUUGGUUCUCCUCUCCUCCUCCAUCAGUGGUGUUGGUUCUCCUCUCCUCCUCCAUCAGUGGUGUUGGUUCUCCUCUCCUCCAUCAGUGGUGUUGGUUCUCCUCUCCUCCUCCAUCAGUGGUGUUGGUUCUCCUCUCCUCCUCCAUCAGUGGUGUUGGUUCUCCUCUCCUCCUCCAUCAGUGGUGUUGGUUCUCCUCUCCUCCAUCAGUGGUGUUGGUUCUCCUCUCCUCCUCCAUCAGUGGUGUUGUUCUCCUCUCCUCCUCCAUCAGUGGUGUUGGUUCUCCUCUCCUCCUUCAUCAGUGGUGUUGGUUCUCCUCUCCUUCAUCAGUGGUGUUGGUUCUUCUCUCCUCCAUCAGUGGUGUUGGUUCUCCUCUCCUCCAUCAGUGGUGUUGGUUCUCCUCUCCUCCAUCAGUGGUGUUGGUUCUCCUCUCCUUCAUCAGUGGUGUUGGUUCUCCUCCUCUCCUUCAUCAGUGGUGUUGGUUCUCCUCUCCUCCUUCAUCAGUGGUGUUGGUUCUCCUCUCCUCCAUCAGUGGUGUUGGUUCUCCUCUCCUCCUCCAUCAGUGGUGUUGGUUCUCCUCUCCUCCUUCAUCAGUGGUGUUGGUUCUCCUCUCCUCCAUCAGUGGUGUUGGUUCUCCUCUCCUCCAUCAGUGGUGUUGGUUCUCCUCUCCUCCUUCAUCAGUGGUGUUGGUUCUCCUCUCCUCCUUCAUCAGUGGUGUUGGUUCUCCUCUCCUCCUCCAUCAGUGGUGUUGGUUCUCCUCUCCUCCAUCAGUGGUGUUGGUUCUCCUCUCCUCCUCCAUCAGUGGUGUUGGUUUUCCUCUCCUCUCCUCCAUCAGUGGUGUUGGUUCUCCUCUCCUCCAUCAGUGGUGUUGGUUCUCCUCUCCUCCUCCAUCAGUGGUGUUGGUUCUCCUCUCCUCCUCCAUCAGUGGUGUUGGUUUUCCUCUCCUCCAUCAGUGGUGUUGUUCUCCUCUCCUCCAUCAGUGGUGUUGGUUCUCCUCUCCUCCAUCAGUGGUGUUGGUUCUCCUCUCCUCCAUCAGUGGUGUUGGUUCUCCUCUCCUCCAUCAGUGGUGUUGUUCUCCUCUCCUCCAUCAGUGGUGUUGGUUCUCCUCUCCUCCUCCAUCAGUGGUGUUGGUUUUCCUCUCCUCCCCUUCAUUAGUGGUGUUGGUUCUCCUCUCCUCCAUCAGUGGUGUUGGUUCUCCUCUCCUCCUCCAUCAGUGGUGUUGGUUCUCCUCUCCUCCUUCAUCAGUGGUGUUGGUUCUCCUCUCCUCCUCCAUCAGUGGUGUUGGUUCUCCUCUCCUCCUUCAUCAGUGGUGUUGGUUCUCCUCUCCUCCUUCAUCAGUGGUGUUGGUUCUCCUCUCCUUCAUCAGUGGUGUUGGUUCUCCUCUCCUCCUCCAUCAGUGGUGUUGGUUCUCCUCUCCUCCAUCAGUGGUGUUGUUCUCCUCUCCUCCAUCAGUGGUGUUGGUUCUCCUCUCCUCCUCCAUCAGUGGUGUUGUUCUCCUCUCCUCCAUCAGUGGUGUUGGUUCUCCUCUCCUUCUUCAUCAGUGGUGUUGGUUCUCCUCUCCUUCAUCAGUGGUGUUGGUUCUCCUCUCCUUCAUCAGUGGUGUUGGUUCUCCUCCCCUCCUCCAUCAGUGGUGUUGGUUCUCCUCUCCUCCUCCAUCAGUGGUGUUGGUUCUCCUCUCCUCCAUCAGUGGUGUUGGUUCUCCUCUCCUCCUCCAUCAGUGGUGUUGGUUCUCCUCUCCUCCAUCAGUGGUGUUGGUUCUCCUCUCCUCCUUCAUCAGUGGUGUUGGUUCUCCUCUCCUUCAUCAGUGGUGUUGGUUUUCCUCUCCUCCUCCAUCAGUGGUGUUGGUUCUCCUCUCCUCCUCCAUCAGUGGUGUUGGUUCUCCUCUCCUCCUCCAUCAGUGGUGUUGGUUCUCCUCUCCUCCAUCAGUGGUGUUGGUUCUCCUCUCCUCCUCCAUCAGUGGUGUUGUUCUCCUCUCCUCCUCCAUCAGUGGUGUUGGUUCUCCUCUCCUCCUUCAUCAGUGGUGUUGGUUCUCCUCUCCUUCAUCAGUGGUGUUGGUUCUCCUCUCCUCCAUCAGUGGUGUUGGUUCUCCUCUCCUCCAUCAGUGGUGUUGGUUCUCCUCUCCUCCAUCAGUGGUGUUGGUUCUCCUCUCCUUCAUCAGUGGUGUUGGUUCUCCUCCCCUCCUUCAUCAGUGGUGUUGGUUCUCCUCUCCUCCUUCAUCAGUGGUGUUGGUUCUCCUCUCCUCCAUCAGUGGUGUUGGUUCUCCUCUCCUCCUUCAUCAGUGGUGUUGGUUCUCCUCUCCUCCUUCAUCAGUGGUGUUGGUUCUCCUCUCCUCCAUCAGUGGUGUUGGUUCUCCUCUCCUCCAUCAGUGGUGUUGGUUCUCCUCUCCUCCAUCAGUGGUGUUGGUUUUCCUCUCCUCCAUCAGUGGUGUUGGUUCUCCUCUCCUCCUUCAUCAUUGGUGUUGGUUCUCCUCUCCUCCUUCAUCAGUGGUGUUGGUUCUCCUCUCCUCCUCCAUCAGUGGUGUUGGUUCUCCUCUCCUCCUUCAUCAGUGGUGUUGGUUCUCCUCUCCUCCUCCAUCAGUGGUGUUGGUUCUCCUCUCCUUCAUCAGUGGUGUUGGUUCUCCUCUCCUCCAUCAGUGGUGUUGUUCUCCUCUCCUUCAUCAGUGGUGUUGGUUCUCCUCUCCUCCUUCAUCAGUGGUGUUGGUUCUCCUCUCCUCCUCCAUCAGUGGUGUUGGUUUUCCUCUCCUCCUUCAUCAGUGUUGCUGGUUCUCCUCUCCUCCUUCAUCAGUGGUGUUGGUUCUCCUCUCCUCCUUCAUCAGUGUUGUUGGUUUUCCUCUCCUCCUUCAUCAGUGGUGUUGGUUCUCCUCUCCUCCUUCAUCAGUGGUGUUGGUUCUCCUCUCCUCCUUCAUCAGUGGUGUUGGUUCUCCUCUCCUCCAUCAGUGGUGUUGGUUCUCCUCUCCUCCAUCAGUGGUGUUGGUUCUCCUCUCCUCCAUCAGUGGUGCUGGUUCUCCUCUCCUCCUUCAUCAGUGGUGUUGGUUCUCCUCUCCUCCAUCAGUGGUGUUGGUUCUCCUCUCCUCCUUCAUCAGUGGUGUUGGUUCACCUCUCCUCCAUCAGUGGUGUUGGUUCUCCUCUCCUCCUUCAUCAGUGGUGUUGGUUCUCCUCUCCUCCUUCAUCAGUGGGGUUGGUUCUCCUCCCCUCCUUCAUCAGUGGUGUUGGUUUUCCUCCCCUCCAUCAGUGGUGUUGGUUCUCCUCUCCUCCAUCAGUGGUGUUGGUUCUCCUCCCCUCCUUCAUCAGUGGUGUUGGUUCUCCUCUCCUCCAUCAGUGGUGUUGGUUCUCCUCUCCUCCUUCAUCAGUGGUGUUGGUUCUCCUCCCCUCCUUCAUCAGUGGUGUUGGUUUUCCUCUCCUCCAUCAGUGGUGUUGGUUCUCCUCCCCUCCUUCAUCAGUGGUGUUGGUUCUCCUCUCCUCCUCCAUCAGUGGUGUUGGUUCUCCUCUCCUCCUCCAUCAGUGGUGUUGGUUCUCCUCUCCUCCAUCAGUGGUGUUGGUUCUCCUCUCCUCCUCCAUCAGUGGUGUUGGUUCUCCUCUCCUCCUCCAUCAGUGGUGUUGGUUCUCCUCUCCUCCUCCAUCAGUGGUGUUGGUUCUCCUCUCCUCCAUCAGUGGUGUUGGUUCUCCUCUCCUCCUCCAUCAGUGGUGUUGUUCUCCUCUCCUCCUCCAUCAGUGGUGUUGGUUCUCCUCUCCUCCUUCAUCAGUGGUGUUGGUUCUCCUCUCCUUCAUCAGUGGUGUUGGUUCUCCUCUCCUCCAACAGUGGUGUUGGUUCUCCUCUCCUCCAACAGUGGUGUUGGUUCUCCUCUCCUCCAUCAGUGGUGUUGGUUCUCCUCUCCUCCAUCAGUGGUGUUGGUUCUCCUCUCCUUCAUCAGUGGUGUUGGUUCUCCUCCCCUCCUUCAUCAGUGGUGUUGGUUCUCCUCUCCUCCUUCAUCAGUGGUGUUGGUUCUCCUCUCCUCCAUCAGUGGUGUUGGUUCUCCUCUCCUCCUUCAUCAGUGGUGUUGGUUCUCCUCUCCUCCUUCAUCAGUGGUGUUGGUUCUCCUCUCCUCCUUCAUCAGUGGUGUUGGUUCUCCUCUCCUCCAUCAGUGGUGUUGGUUCUCCUCUCCUCCUCCAUCAGUGGUGUUGGUUCUCCUCUCCUCCUUCAUCAGUGGUGUUGGUUCUCCUCUCCUCCUUCAUCAGUGGUGUUGGUUCUCCUCUCCUCCUCCAUCAGUGGUGUUGGUUCUCCUCUCCUCCUUCAUCAGUGGUGUUGGUUUUCCUCUCCUCCAUCAGUGGUGUUGGUUCUCCUCUCCUCCAUCAGUGGUGUUGGUUCUCCUCUCCUCCUUCAUCAGUGGUGUUGGUUCUCCUCUCCUCCUUCAUCAGUGGUGUUGGUUCUCCUCUCCUCCUCCAUCAGUGGUGUUGGUUCUCCUCUCCUCCAUCAGUGGUGUUGGUUCUCCUCUCCUCCUCCAUCAGUGGUGUUGUUCUCCUCUCCUCCUCCAUCAGUGGUGUUGGUUCUCCUCUCCUCCUUCAUCAGUGGUGUUGGUUCUCCUCUCCUUCAUCAGUGGUGUUGGUUCUCCUCUCCUCCAUCAGUGGUGUUGGUUCUCCUCUCCUCCAUCAGUGGUGUUGGUUCUCCUCUCCUCCAUCAGUGGUGUUGGUUCUCCUCUCCUUCAUCAGUGGUGUUGGUUCUCCUCCCCUCCUUCAUCAGUGGUGUUGGUUCUCCUCUCCUCCUUCAUCAGUGGUGUUGGUUCUCCUCUCCUCCAUCAGUGGUGUUGGUUCUCCUCUCCUCCUUCAUCAGUGGUGUUGGUUCUCCUCUCCUCCUUCAUCAGUGGUGUUGGUUCUCCUCUCCUCCAUCAGUGGUGUUGGUUCUCCUCUCCUCCAUCAGUGGUGUUGGUUCUCCUCUCCUCCUCCAUCAGUGGUGUUGGUUCUCCUCUCCUCCUCCAUCAGUGGUGUUGUUCUCCUCUCCUCCAUCAGUGGUGUUGGUUCUCCUCUCCUCCUUCAUCAGUGGUGUUGGUUUUCCUCUCCUCCUUCAUCAGUGGUGUUGGUUCUCCUCUCCUCCUUCAUCAGUGGUGUUGGUUCUCCUCUCCUCCAUCAGUGGUGUUGGUUCUCCUCUCCUCCUUCAUCAGUGGUGUUGGUUCUCCUCUCCUCCAUCAGUGGUGUUGGUUCUCCUCUCCUCCUCCAUCAGUGGUGUUGGUUCUCCUCUCCUCCAUCAGUGGUGUUGGUUCUCCUCUCCUCCUUCAUCAGUGGUGUUGGUUCUCCUCUCCUCCUCCAUCAGUGGUGUUGGUUCUCCUCUCCUCCAUCAGUGGUGUUGGUUCUCCUCUCCUCCUUCAUCAGUGGUGUUGGUUCUCCUCUCCUCCAUCAGUUGUGCUGGUUCUCCUCUCCUCCUUCAUCAGUGGUGUUGGUGCUCCUCUCCUCCUUCAUCAAUGGUGUUGGUUCUCCUCUCCUCCAUCAGUGGUGUUGGUUCUCCUCUCCUCCUCCAUCAGUGGUGUUGGUUCUCCUCUCCUCCUUCAUCAGUUGUGCUGGUUCUCCUCUCCUCCAUCAGUGGUGUUGGUUUUCCUCUCCUCCUUCAUCAGUGGUGUUGGUUCUCCUCUCCUCCAUCAUCAGUUGUGCUGGUUCUCCUCUCCUCCUCCAUCAGUUGUGCUGGUUCUCCUCUCCUCCUCCAUCAGUGGUGUUGGUUCUCCUCUCCUCCAUCAGUGGUGUUGGUUCUCCUCUCCUCCAUCAGUGGUGUUGGUUCUCCUCUCCUCCUUCAUCAGUGGUGUUGGUUCUCCUCUCCUCCUCCAUCAGUUGUGCUGGUUCUCCUCUCCUCCUUCAUCAGUGGUGUUGGUUCUCCUCUCCUCCAUCAGUGGUGUUGGUUCUCCUCUCCUCCUCCAUCAGUUGUGCUGGUUCUCCUCUCCUCCUUCAUCAGUGGUGUUGGUUUUCCUCUCCUCCAUCAGUGGUGUUGGUUCUCCUCUCCUCCAUCAGUGGUGUUGGUUCUCCUCUCCUCCAUCAUCAGUUGUGCUGGUUCUCCUCUCCUCCUCCAUCAGUUGUGCUGGUUUUCCUCUCCUCCUCCAUCAGUUGUGCUGGUUCUCCUCUCCUCCAUCAGUGGUGUUGGUUCUCCUCUCCUCCAUCAGUGGUGUUGGUUCUCCUCUCCUUCAUCAGUGGUGUUGGUUCUCCUCUCCUCCUCCAUCAGUGGUGUUGGUUCUCCUCUCCUCCUCCAUCAGUGGUGUUGGUUCUCCUCUCCUCCAUCAGUGGUGUUGGUUCUCCUCUCCUCCAUCAGUGGUGUUGGUUCUCCUCCCCUCCUCCAUCAGUGGUGUUGGUUCUCCUCUCCUCCAUCAGUGGUGUUGGUUCUCCUCUCCUCCUCCAUCAGUGGUGUUGGUUCUCCUCUCCUCCAUCAGUGGUGUUGGUUCUCCUCUCCUCCUCCAUCAGUGGUGUUGGUUUUCCUAUCCUCCUCCAUCAGUGGUGUUGGUUCUCCUCUCCUUCAUCAGUGGUGUUGGUUCUCCUCUCCUUCAUCAGUGGUGUUGGUUCUCCUCUCCUCCAUCAGUGGUGUUGGUUCUCCUCUCCUCCUCCAUCAGUUGUGCUGGUUCUCCUCUCCUCCUCCAUCAGUUGUGCUGGUUCUCCUCUCCUCCUUCAUCAGUGGUGUUGGUUCUCCUCUCCUCCAUCAGUGGUGUUGGUUCUCCUCUCCUCCAUCAUCAGUUGUGCUGGUUCUCCUCUCCUCCUUCAUCAGUGGUGCUGGUUUUCUCCUCUUCAUCAGUGGUGUUGGUUUUCCUCUCCUCCAUCAGUGGUGUUGGUUCUCCUCUCCUCCUUCAUCAGUGGUGUUGGUUCUCCUCUCCUCCUUCAUCAGUGGUGUUGGUUCUCCUCUCCUCCUCCAUCAGUGGUGUUGGUUCUCCUCUCCUCCUCCAUCAGUGGUGUUGGUUCUCCUCUCCUCCUUCAUCAGUGGUGUUGGUUCUCCUCUCCUCCUCCAUCAGUGGUGUUGGUUCUCCUCUCCUCCAUCAGUGGUGUUGGUUCUCCUCUCCUCCUCCAUCAGUGGUGUUGGUUCUCCUCUCCUCCUCCAUCAGUGGUGUUGGUUCUCCUCUCCUCCAUCAGUGGUGUUGGUUCUCCUCUCCUCCUUCAUCAGUGGUGUUGGUUCUCCUCUCCUCCUCCAUCAGUGGUGUUGGUUCUCCUCUCCUCCAUCAGUGGUGUUGGUUCUCCUCUCCUCCUUCAUCAGUGGUGUUGGUUCUCCUCUCCUCCUCCAUCAGUGGUGUUGGUUCUCCUCUCCUCCUUCAUCAGUGGUGUUGGUUCUCCUCUCCUCCUUCAUCAGUGGUGUUGGUUCUCCUCUCCUCCAUCAGUGGUGUUGGUUCUCCUCUCCUCCAUCAGUGGUGUUGGUUCUCCUCUCCUCCUCCAUCAGUGGUGUUGGUUCUCCUCUCCUCCUUCAUCAGUGGUGUUGGUUCUCCUCUCCUUCAUCAGUUGUGCUGGUUCUCCUCUCCUCCAUCAUCAGUUGUGCUGGUUCUCCUCUCCUCCUCCAUCAGUUGUGCUGGUUUUCCUCUCCUCCUCCAUCAGUUGUGCUGGUUUCCUCCUUCAUCCGUGGUGCUGUUUCAACAUAGCAUUAGGAGAGUCCUGUGAACAUCAGUGAUGAACAGCACCAUCUUUCUAAUUGAUAAUUUUGACAAAUUAGCAUGAAAUGAAAUCUAUUGGAUGACAGCAUCACCCCCAUGAACUCUAUUAAAAAAAAUCUGUCAAACAUGUGGCCAUGAUGUGUAGAAGCUGUUAUUGACUAAAGGGAAUAUUUUAAUCAUGAAUACAUAGAAAACAUUGUUCCCAUGUACAAUAGAUUGAGGAGAUGUGUUAAUUAGGAAAAGUUUGGUGUAUUGUAUUGGGAUGAUAGUCAUGGAUAAUGACAGAUGGUAGUUAUCCUAGAGAAUAAUUAAAAUUGAAAUGUAAUCAGCUUCAGACCAGCUAAAUAUUCACACUGGGAAAAGGAGGAUGAACAACUCCGACACAACACUUAGUGUUCUUAUUACAAAUUCAUGACUAUUGGUCUCACAUUAAAUCAGGCUCCCUGAUCAACAGACACAAAGUGGUUUACAGAUACCCAGCCUAAAAACCCUAAAGAGCAAGCAAUGCAGAGGGCAGAAGCACAGCGACUAGCUGAGCUUGAUCAGCUAAGGGGGGGGGGGGGGCAUGCCAAGGUUAAAUCAAAUCAAGUCAUCAAAUUUGUCACAUACAGUGGGGCAAAAAAGUAUUUAGUCAGCCACCAAUUGUGCAAGUUCUCCCACUUAAAAAGUCAGUGGGGGCAUGCCAAGGUUAAAUCAAAUCAAGUCAUCAAAUUUGUCACAUACAGUGGGGCAAAAAAGUAUUUAGUCAGCCACCAAUUGUGCAAGUUCUCCCACUUAAAAAGAUGAGAGAGGCCUGUAAUUUUCAUCAUAGGUACACUUCAACUAUGACAGACAAAAUGAGAAAACAAAAUCCAGAAAAUCACAUUGUAGGAUUUUUGAUGAAUUUAUUUGCAAAUUAUGGUGGAAAAUAAGUAUUUGGUCAAUAACAAAAGUUUAUCUCAAUACUUUGUUAUAUACCCUUUGUUGGCAAUGACAGAGGUCAAACAUUUUCUGUAAGUCUUCACAAGGUUUUCACACACUGUUGCUCGUAUUUUGGCCCAUUCCUCCAUGCAGAUCUCCUCUAGAGCAGUGAUGUUUUGGGGCUGUUGCUGGGCAACACGGACUUUCAACUCCCUCCAAAGAUUUUCUAUGGGGUUGAGAUCUGGAGACUGGCUAGGCCACUCCAGGACCUUGAAAUGCUUCUUAUGAAGACACUCCUUCGUUGCCCGGGCGGUGUGUUUGGGAUCAUUGUCAUGCUGAAAGACCCAGCCACGUUUCAUCUUCAAUGCCCUUGCUGAUGGAAGGAGGUUUUCACUCAAAAUCUCACAAUACAUGGCCCCAUUCAUUCUUUCCUUUACACGGAUCAAUCGUCCUGGUCCCUUUGCAGAAAAACAGCCCCAAAGCAUGAUGUUUCCACCCCCAUGCUUCACAGUAGGUAUGGUGUUCUUUGGAUGCAACUCAGCAUUCUUUGUCCUCCAAACACGACGAGUUGAGUUUUUACCAAAAAGUUAUAUUUUGGUUUCAUCUGACCAUAUGACAUUCUCCCAAUCUUCUUCUGGAUCAUCCAAAUGCUCUCUAGCAAACUUCAGACGGGCCUGGACAUGUACUGGCUUAAGCAGGGGGACACGUCUGGCACUGCAGGAUUUGAGUCCCUGGCGGCGUAGUGUGUUCCUGAUGGUAGGCUUUGUUACUUUGGUCCCAGCUCUCUGCAGGUCAUUCACUAGGUCCCCCCGUGUGGUUCUGGGAUUUUUGCUCACCGUUCUUAUGAUCAUUUUGACCCCACGGGGUGAGAUCUUGCGUGGAGCCCCAGAUCGAGGGAGAUUAUCAGUGGUCUUGUAUGUCUUCCAUUUCCUAAUAAUUGCUCCCAGUAUAUUCAUAUGAGAUGAGUAAUGUAGGGUAUGUAAACAUUAUAUGAAGUGGCAUUGUUUAAAGUGGCUAGUGAUACAUUUAUUACAUCAAUUUUUCCAUUAUUAAAGUGGCUGGAGUUCAAUCAGUAUGUUUGCAGCAGCCACUCAAUGUUAGUGAUGGCAGUUUAACAGUCUGAUGGCCUUGAGAUAUAAGCUGUUUUUCAGUCUCUCUCGGUCCCUGCUUUGAUGCACCUGUACUGACCUCGCCUUCUGGAUGGUAGCGGGGUGAACAGGCAGUGGCUCGGGUGGUUGUCCUUCAUGAUCUUCAUGGCCUUCCUGUGACAUCGAGUGCUGUAGGUGUCAUGGAGGGCAGGUAGUUUGCCCCCGGUGAUGCGUUGUGCAGACCUCACUACCCUCUGGAGAGCCUUACGGUUGAUGGCUGUGAUACAGCCUGACAGGAUGCUCUCGAUUGUGCAUCUGUAAAAGUUUGUCAGGGUUUUGGUUGAAAAGCCACAUUUCUUCAGCCUCCUGAUGUUGAAGAGGCGCUGUUGCGCCUUCCUCGCCACGCUGUCUGUGUGGGUGGACCAUUUUCAGUUUGUCCGUGAUGUGUACGCCAAGGAACUUAAAACGUUUCACCUUCUCCACUGUUGUCCCGUCGAUGUGGAUGAGGGGGGUGCGCCCUCUGCUGUUUCCUUGAUAUUGGCGUGAACUGGAACACGCUGUUGUACAUGUCGCAAACAUGCUUAAUGGGUGACACGUCUUGUGAGAACGCAGGCCAUGGAAGAACUGGGACAUUUUCAGUUUCCAGGAAUUGUGUGCAGAUUCUUGCGAACUUGGGGCCGUGCAUUAUAAUGCCGAAACAUGAGAUGAUGGCGGGCGGAUGAAUGGCACGACAAUGGGCCUCAGGAUCUCAUCACUGUGUCUCCGUGCAUUCAAAUUGCCAUUGAAAAAAUGCAAUUGUGUUCGUUGUCUGUAGCUUAUGCCUGCCCCAUACCAUAACCCCACCGCCACCUUUAGGCACUCUGUUCACAACGACAUCAGCAUACCGCUCGCCUACACAACGCCAUACACGUGGUCUGCGGUUAUGAGGCCGGUUGGACAUACUGGCAAAUUCUCUAAAACGGCGGCUUAUGAUAGAAAAAUGAACAUUGAACAUCUGGCAAUAGCUCUGGAGGACAUUCCCUCAGUCAGCAUACUAAUUGCACACUGCCUCCAAACUUGAGACAUCUGUGACAUUGUGUUGUGUGACACAACUGCACAUUUUAGUGUGGACUUUUGUUGUUCCCAGCACAAGGUGCACCUGUCAAAUCCAAUUGUAUUUGUCCCAUGAAAUGCUUACCUACAAGCCCUUAACCAACAAUGCUAUUUUAAGAAAAUAGAGUUAAGAAAAUAUUUACUAUAUAAAGUAAAGUAAAAAAUAAAAGAAUAACACAAUAAUGAGUCUAUAUACAGGGGGUACCGAUACCAAGUCAAUGUGCGGGUGAACAGGUUAGUCGAGGUAAUUUGUACAUGUAGUUAGGGGUAAAGUGACUAUGCAUAGGUAAUAAACAGCAAUGUAAAAACAACACUUCCAAGUAUAUAAGUCCUGGAUGGCAGGAAGCUUGGCCCCAGUGAUGUACUGGGCUGUACACAUUACCCUCUGUAGCUCCUUACGGUCGGAGGCCGAGCAGUUGUCAUACCAGGCGGUGAUCCAACCUGUCAGGAUGCUCUCGAUGGUGCAGCUGUAAAAUUCUUUGAGGAUCUGGGGACCCAUGCCAAAUAUGUUUUGUCUCCUGAGGGGGAAAAGGCGUUGUCGUGCUCUCUUCACAACUUUCUUGGUGUGUUUGGACCAUGAUAGUUUGUUGGUGAUGUGGACAGGGGGUUUCACCUACAUCUACCACAUUUAGCUAAUGAGGAGGGUUACAGGGGGUUUCACCAGCCUCUACCACAUUUAGCUAAUGAGGAGGGUUACAGGGGGUUUCACCAGCCUCUACCACAUUUAGCUAAUGAGGAGGGUUAGAGGGGGUUUCACCUGCCUGUACCACAUUUAGCUAAUGAGGAGGGUUAGAGGGGGUUUCACCUGCCUGUACCACAUUUAGCUAAUGAGGAGGGUUACAGGGGGUUUCACCUACCUCUACCACAUUUAGCUAAUGAGGAGGGUUAGAGGGGGUUUCACCUGCCUGUACCACAUUUAGCUAAUGAGGAGGGUUACAGGGGGUUUCACCUACCUCUACCACAUUUAGCUAAUGAGGAGGGUUAGAGGGGGUUUCACCUGCCUGUACCACAUUUAGCUAGUGAGGAGGGUUACAGGGGGUUUCACCUGCCUGUACCACAUUUAGCUAGUGAGGAGGUUUACAGGGGGUUCACCUGCCUCUACCACAUUUAGCUAAUGAGGAGGGUUACAGGGGGUUUCACCAGCCUCUACCACAUUUAGCUAAUGAGGAGGGUUACAGGGGGGUUCACCUGCCUCUACCAUAUUUAGCUAGUGAGGGAAAACCCUGGUUGGCUAGUACAAUGUAAGGGUUUAAUCCCAAUACUUUCUCCUUCCUGCUGAAGUGUUCACUUGUUCACUAAAUG